AUGGGUGAUCAGCAGUUCAAUGCUGACUCUACCUCCUACCCCUGUUUUAUCUAACAGUACAGAUGUAAGCUGUCUUCUUUAGCAGAAGAGAGAACUUUGGGUGAAUAGGCAAGUGCCUCAAGUGAGGUGAACUGAGUGCUCUGUGCAUGGAACUAAUGUUAAAUGUCAUGGGGAUCCUGUACAUGGACUAAAUGCUGUGGGCCACUAGGCAGUGAUACAAGCUGCCCGGAGGAGCGUGCAACCUUUUGCCAUUCAUGGAAGCAUAAAGCUUUGAACAAUCAUGUCUGAACCUACAGCUGAUUGUGCUUUGAGCAUGUGCUUAGACUGGGAAUCUCCUGAG
ensembl:lncRNA